CACCCCCACCUUCCUGGGGCCCACUGGAGAGUCAAUCUAGCAGCGAGUCCAGUCUUGCCUGGGCUGAUCCCUGGAGGCCUAGCCCGUUCAUUCCUCCCCUUAAGGGAGGUGCUUGAGGGUUACCUGGCAGGAGGCAGCAGGCCCCUGGACCCUCCAGGGAGGGGUCAUCCAAGUUGCCCCCAAAGAAGAAAUCUGAGCACCUCCUCCUCCCCAUCCUUCAGAUCCAUGUCUUUUCCCAGGAUGCUCCAGCCCUUCUCCUGGAAACAUUUCAGGUGACCCCCGCCCCCAUGGUGGAGGGCAGAGGAGGGCCUCCCUUACUGCGGGGCUGCCGGCCCUCACAGCAGCCCCCUCCUCAGACAAGCUCUUCUCACCCUCCCAAGGUAUGGCCACAGCUGCCCUAGACAGCCCCAUUCCCCAGCUGCUGCUGCUGCAUAGCCUCCAAAGCCCAGAGCCACCUGCUUCAGCCUGUCCUGCCUUCCAGCUGCUGUUGUCUUCCUGCUCUUUCCCUGAAUGGAAGUCACGCCCUCGGCCUCCUCAGGGUUUGCCAGCCCCUUUUCUCCUCCUUGGGAUCAAAGACUUUCGAGGUCAGUCAGUCCAAUCUCAUUUUACAGAUGAGGAAAUCAAGCCCAGAGAGGGAAAAUUACUUGCUCAAGGUCACACAGGAAAUCAGUAGCAGAAUCAUCAUUGAAAUCCAGGUCUUCUGGCUCCAAAACCAGCAUGAAUUUAAAUCCCACCAGAGACUCAGCAAGACAGUUCCUACCGUCUAUAGAGAGAGCCCUGGCCUGGCCCAGGUCAUCCCAUUUCUCAUAACCAUUUCCAACUGGCAGUAGACCUUUACACCCCUAUGGACAGCACUACCAAUUUCUCCACCUUUUCUCUCCCAACUCACCAAGGGAUGGCAUGGAACCUGAGAUUUUGUAAAAAUCCUCCCCAUGUCCCUAUGGAGAGCCUGCUUGAAUGUCUAUCUGAAACCCAACUCCCAAUUUCAGAAUCUCAGAGCUGGAAGGGAUCCUUUUAGAAAUAGAAUCAAACCAUACCUGGACAAGAACCUCUCUGCCAACUGGAGGCGUUCGUUUGAAGAUCACCAGUGAGGUGGAUUCCACUGCUACCCAAGGCAACGCAUCCAGGUGCUAAAGACACUUCUAAGCAGCUCGUGAAGGAUUUACAACCUCAGACAUCUGCAGCUGCCCCAGAUCAGGCUUCAUUUAUUAUUUGGUUGAUUGUCUAGACUUAAGCACAUGUGUGUAUCUUAUUUUUUUUUAUGACAGGCUGGUUGUAAAACAUUUACCAGCAGUACCCCUGAACCCUUUCCACUGCUGGGUAACUCUGAUGCUUACAAUUAUUUUUUCAGGAAGCCCUAAAUGUGCCUCUUAUCAACUUCCAGCAGUUAUUCCCAGUUCUGGACCCCCCUAAGAUAAAAUAGGACAAAGGUAAUUUCUCUUCCAGGUGACAUUUGUAUCCCCAAUGCUUAGCAUACAGUGACAGCUUCACCAAUGCUUAAUAAAUAGCUGACUCAGAUGGCGAUUCUAAGGCCCUGGAUUCACCAUCUUGGUGACCCUCCUCCCCAUCCCCUGCCCCAAGCUCUGCAGUUUAAUCACAGUCUUUCCUAGUUUGCCUGAAUCUGAGCCCACUAUUCCAGCUGGUGGUCUGAUCAGGGCAGAGUUUGGAAGAAGCAUUUCCUCUCUCCUGGCCCAUGCAGCCUGAGACCACACUGUCCGUUUGAAUGAUGUCUAUUCCACCAGGCAGCUACAGAACAGCUCCCUCUCCCAAGAGAGGAGCGCAGGCUUCAGCUCUUUUGUUUGGAGGCCAGAGCAACAUUUCCCCUCAGAAACCAUCAAUGUCAGUGAGUUAGAUGGGAAAAAGAAAGCAUUUAUUUAAAUGUCCCUCUGGGGAUCCCUUUAAGUCAUCCUGGCUGCAAUUGUACAUAUGAGGUCUGUGAUCUUCCUUGCUUAAAUCAGGGGGCAAUGAAAGCUGUUUUAUAAAUGAAACUGGAGCCCAAAUAUUCAUAGUAGCAUAUCCCUCCCCCCAAAAAAGAAAAACCUGAAAAGUCCAUCGACUGGAGGGAUGACUAUGUUUGACGAAUUAAGUGGAAUCCUAUUGUAAUGUAAAAGAGAAUGAGCUAGGAGGUUCUAAAGAAGUGUGGAAAAAUUUGUGUGGAUGCAGAGCAAAGAAAGUAGAGCCAGAAGAACCAGAUGCCCAAUGACAAUAGGAAUAAAAAUAAUAAUGAAUAGCAGCCAAUGGUGACCAGUCUAAAUCCCAGAGAGCAGAUGAGAGGACACACUUUCUUGGGAGGCAGGGUAGUGCCCUGAAUAAUGCAUUGGGUUCGAAAGCAUAGGGUAAAUGUUCAAAUCUCAGUUCCCACUCAUCCUGCCUGUGUGAUCUUAGACAAGUCUCAUCACUUCCCUAGUCUGGGCCUCAGUUUCCUCAUCUGUAAAAUGAGGGAUGAAGGUCCUUGGUGGGGGGCCACGGGUGCAGAAUGUUGCAUAUGAUGCCAGCUGCUGUCAAUGACUCUCUCCCUUCAGAAGGACAAUUCAGUGCAAGGCAAUAUGGGGCAGAGAGGGUGAUGGCUGUGUUGUUUUCAAAAAGGCAUCAAUAAAACUUUUCCAAAAGAA